UACGUAGGGCGCAAGCGUUAUCCGGAAUUAUUGGGCGUAAAGAGCUUCGUGAGCGGUUUGUCGCGUCUGCUGUGAAAAUCCGGGGCUCAACCCCGGACUUGCAGUGGGUACGGGCAGACUAGAGUGUGGUAGGGGAGACUGGAAUUCCUGGUGUAGCGGUGGAAUGCGCAGAUAUCAGGAGGAACACCGAUGGCGAAGGCAGGUCUCUGGGCCACUACUGACGCUGAGAAGCGAAAGCAUGGGGAGCGAACAGG
rnacentral:rRNA from 1 species